UGGGGAAUAUUGCACAAUGGGCGCAAGCCUGAUGCAGCAACGCCGCGUGAGGGAUGACGGCCUUCGGGUUGUAAACCUCUUUUAGCAGGGAAGAAGCGAAAGUGACGGUACCUGCAGAAAAAGCACCGGCUAACUACGUGCCAGCAGCCGCGGUAAUACGUAGGGUGCAAGCGUUGUCCGGAAUUAUUGGGCGUAAAGAGCUCGUAGGCGGUCUGUCGCGUCUGCUGUGAAAUCCCGAGGCUCAACCUCGGGCCUGCAGUGGGUACGGGCAGACUAGAGUGCGGUAGGGGAGAAUGGAACUCCUGGUGUAGCGGUGGAAUGCGCAGAUAUCAGGAAGAACACCGAUGGCGAAGGCAGUUCUCUGGGCCGUAACUGACGCUGAGGAGCGAAAGCGUGGGGAGCGAACAGGAUUAGAUACCCUGGUAGUCCACGCCGUAAACGUUGGGCGCUAGAUGUGGGGACCAUUCCACGGUUUCCGUGUCGCAGCUAACGCAUUAAGCGCCCGCCUGGGGAGUACGGCCGCAAGGCUAAAACUCAAAGGAAUUGACGGGGUCAUAGCUG
rnacentral:rRNA from 1 species